AGAUUGAACGCUGGCGGCGGGCCUAACACAUGCAAGUCGAGCGGCAGCACGGGUACUUGUACCUGGUGGCGAGCGGCGGACGGGUGAGUAAUGCCUAGGAAUCUGCCUGGUAGUGGGGGAUAACGCUCGGAAACGGACGCUAAUACCGCAUAAGACCUUCGGGUGAAAGCCGGGGACCUUCGGGCCUGGCGCGGAUAGAUGAGCCGAUGUCGGAUUAGCUUGUUGGCGGGGUAAAGCCCACAAGGCGACGAUCCGUAGCUGGUCUGAGAGGAUGAUCAGCCACACUGGAACUGAGACACGGUCCAGACUCCUACGGGAGCAGCAGUGGGAAUAUUGGACAAGUGGGCG
rnacentral:rRNA from 1 species